CUGGUAACUAAUCUUGCGAYUGAAAAUAUACGAAAGUUGUUUGUGUCAGGAUAGAGGUAAAAACCGGCUAAAAGUUCUUAAAAUAAGCUGGGAAUUGAAUUAUUAUGAGCUACCCUCCUCCUUAUCCACAACAGCAGUCCCCCUAUCCAAGYGCUCCACCACCUGGUGGACCACCGCCAGUUGGGUAUGAAGGUUAUCAACAAGGCCCACCUCCUGGAUACAGCCAAGGACCAUAUCCAGGACCACAAUAUGCACCACCACAGUAUGGUCCUCCAGGGGGACAAUAUGGACCRCCAGCUGGACAGUAUGGACCACCAGGGGGYACSGUAUAUACACAACAACCUAAYACAGUUUAUGUUUACGAAGAACGGAAAAGAGAUACAAGUGGCGAAGAAUGCUUUAUGUGGGGUUUAUGUGCAGCUUGUUUGUGCUGCUGUCUGAUGAGUGACUAGCGUUUUAAUCAUCUUUUUUAUUWCACACUCUUUCAGUGUGUUAUAAUGUAUUAUAUUAUAGACAAUGAAAAUCAAAGCCAUCAUAGCGAAAUGUUGAAUUAUUUAAAGACAAUUAUAUUACCAAAACUGCAGUAUUGCAGUUAUUGCACAUUGCCGCUGUAUAAUAGUGAUAUUAGAAUGGAUAUUAGCAACAGCAAUAUUUCAAAACCUAGCUAUUAUAUUGAAAUGUUAAGUCGGUAUAACUAGACAAUUAUAUAUCAGUCAGCAGAAAUUGCAGUAUUCGUUCAAGUAUUGCAUGUAAACGACUGUAUCAUACUAAAUGCACAAAUAGCUUGUAUACAGGCCACGAAAGUUAGUAAUUAUCAGUAUGUUAAAAUUACUCCAACUUUGAAAUUUUUUUUUAUCUGCUCAUUUCUUUACUAUGAAAAAAACUAUUUGAUUUAAAGCUAUUUACAAAUACAGAAGUAAUUUCUUCUGUUUACUCAAAAAAUAUAGUCAGAUUUUAUAAUUUUCAAUUUUGGUGAUCAACAAAUUAAUAAUCACACAUAGAAGUUUUUGAUUAUCACACAGAUGGAAGUUUGAAUGUCCAAUAUUGUAUUGCUAUGAUAUGUGUAGACCAAAGUUCAUAGUACAGUGUAUGAUUACUGUACCUAAGCUAGCACAGCUGAACAAGCUGCUGAAUGAGUUUAGAAACAAUGAUAUAACGAAUGAAAUAUGCCUUAGUAUUGUAUUUAACACUUAAAAGUGUUUUAUAGGCGAAUACGCAUCACUGUUUAUAAAAAUUAUGAAGAGGAAUAAACUGUCCUGUUUAGUUUA